rnacentral:rRNA from 1 species
CAAUAGCGUAUAUUAAAGUUGUUGCAGUUAAAAAGCUCGUAGUUGGAUUUCUGGUAGGAGUGACCGUUCCGAACUUGAUUGUUCGUGUAUUGUGUUUUCUCCAGCCAUCCUUGUGGAGAACUUUUCUUGCAUUAAUUUGUAGGGAUUGGGACCCGCAUCGUUUACUGUGAAAAAAUUAGAGUGUUUAAAGCAGGCAAUCGCUUGAAUACAUUAGCAUGGAAUAAUAAGAUAGGACUUUGGUACUAUUUUGUUGGUUUGCAUACCAAAUGAAUGAUCAACAGGAACAGUUUGAGGAUAUUCGUAUGAACAUGUCAGAGGUGAAAUUCUUGGAUUUUGAUCAGACGAACUACUGCGAAAGCAUUUAUCAAGGAUGUUUUCAUUAA